GACAGAGGUCUCGAGCGUUAGGCGGAAUCACUGGGCUUAAAGCGUGUGUAGGCGGAUUCCUAAGUACCUUGUGAAAUCCCAUGGCUCAACCAUGGAACUGCUUGGUAUACUGGGUGUCUUGAGCCAGCUAGGGGCUACCGGAACAAAUGGUGGAGCGGUGAAAUGCGUAGAUAUCAUUUGGAACGCCAAUGGUGAAAACAGGUAGCUGGGGCUGUGCUGACGCUGAGACACGAAAGCCAGGGGAGCGAACGGG
rnacentral:rRNA from 1 species